GGACAUAAAUUGACUCCUCAUAUAUAUUUAUUAACAUAGUACAAUUUUAUUAAAAACAAAGAAAGAAAAAAUUAUCAACCCAUGAAAGCAAGAAGAUCCUAGUACAGGUCGAGCCUCGUUAAAAACUCUGUAAGAAGAAAAAAAGUGUUCGUCUAUUACAACGAAGGGAAAAAGCCAAAAAGGAAAAAACUCAACAAGGCAAACGAGCAUGCCCGAAGACAAAACAAUGGUACCCGACAUUUCAAGACCCAAACCCCAGCGCACCAGAGA
rnacentral:lncRNA from 1 species